GCCGGGCAUGGUGGUGCAUGCCUGUAGUCCCAGCUACUCAGGAGGCUGAGGCAGGAGAAUCGCUUGAACCCAGGAGGUUGCAGUGAGCCAAGAUUGCGCCACUGCACUCCCACCUGGGUGACAGAGUGAGACUCUGUCUCAA
rnacentral:sRNA from 1 species